AGCGGGGUAGGGAAGCUUGGAGUUCCCGCUGGGCUCAUAACCCAGAGAUCGGUGGUUCAAAUCCACUCCCCGCUA
rnacentral:tRNA from 1 species